UACGAAGGGGGCUAGCGUUGUUCGGAAUUACUGGGCGUAAAGCGCACGUAGGCGGAUAUUUAAGUCAGGGGUGAAAUCCCGGGGCUCAACCCCGGAACUGCCUUUGAUACUGGGUAUCUCGAGUCCGAGAGAGGUGAGUGGAAUCCGAGUGUAGAGGUGAAUUCGUAGAUAUUCGGAGGAACACCAGUGGCGAAGGCGGCUCACUGGCUCGGUACUGACGCUGAGGUGCGAAAGCGUGGGAGCA
rnacentral:rRNA from 1 species